rnacentral:rRNA from 1 species
GUCGAACGAUGAAGCCCAGCUUGCUGGGUGGAUUAGUGGCGAACGGGUGAGUAACACGUGAGUAACCUGCCCUUAACUCUGGGAUAAGCCUGGGAAACUGGGUCUAAUACCGGAUAGGAGCGCCCACCGCAUGGUGGGUGUUGGAAAGAUUUAUCGGUUUUGGAUGGACUCGCGGCCUAUCAGCUUGUUGGUGAGGUAAUGGCUCACCAAGGCGACGACGGGUAGCCGGCCUGAGAGGGUGACCGGCCACACUGGGACUGAGACACGGCCCAGACUCCUACGGGAGGCAGCAGUGGGGAAUAUUGCACAAUGGGCGCAAGCCUGAUGCAGCGACGCCGCGUGAGGGAUGACGGCCUUCGGGUUGUAAACCUCUUUCAGUAGGGAAGAAGCGAAAGUGACGGUACCUGCAGAAGAAGCACCGGCUAACUACGUGCCAGCAGCCGCGGUAAUACGUAGGGUGCGAGCGUUAUCCGGAAUUAUUGGGCGUAAAGAGCUCGUAGGCGGUUUGUCGCGUCUGUCGUGAAAGUCCGGGGCUUAACCCCGGAUCUGCGGUGGGUACGGGCAGACUAGAGUGCAGUAGGGGAGACUGGAAUUCCUGGUGUAGCGGUGGAAUGCGCAGAUAUCAGGAGGAAC